AACGUAGGAGACAAACGUUAUCCGGAGUUACUGGGCGUAAAGGGCGUGUAGGCGGUUUGUUAAGUCUGGCGUGAAAGCUCUCGGCUAAACCGGGAGAGGUCGUUUGGAUACUGGCGAACUAGAGGAUGGUAGAGGCGUGUGGAAUUCCGGGUGUAGUGGUGAAAUGCGUAGAGAUCCGGAGGAACACCAGUGGCGAAGGCGACACGCUGGGCCAUACCUGACGCUAAAGCGCGACAGCAUGGGGAGCAAACGGG
rnacentral:rRNA from 1 species